rnacentral:rRNA from 1 species
AACCCAGACUCCUACGGGAGGCAGCAGUGGGGAAUAUUGCACAAUGGGGGGAACCCUGAUGCAGCGACGCCGCGUGGGUGAAGGAGUAUUUCGGUAUGUAAAGCCCUAUCAGCAGGGAAGAACAAUGACGGUACCUGACUAAGAAGCACCGGCUAAAUACGUGCCAGCAGCCGCGGUAAUACGUAUGGUGCAAGCGUUAUCCGGAUUUACUGGGUGUAAAGGGAGCGCAGGCGGCGCGUUAAGCCUGGUGUGAAAGCCCGCGGCCCAACCGCGGGACUGCAUUGGGAACUGGCGCGCUGGAGUGCCGGAGGGGUAGGCGGAAUUCCUAGUGUAGCGGUGAAAUGCGUAGAUAUCAGGAGGAACACCGGCGGCGAAGGCGGCCUGCUGGACCGUAACUGACGUUGAGGCUCGAAAGCGUGGGGAGCAAACAGGAUUAGAUACCCUCGUAAAC